rnacentral:rRNA from 1 species
AGCAGCCGCGGUAAUUCCAGCUCCAAUAGCGUAUAUUAAAGUUGUUGCAGUUAAAAAGCUCGUAGUUGAAUUUCGGGAUCAAUUUGCUGGUCGUGCCUUCGGUACGCACUGGUAUUAUUGGUUUCUCCUUUCUGAUGAAUCGCGAUGUCAUUAAUUUGGUGUCGUGGGGAAUCAGGACUGUUACUUUGAAAAGAUUAGAGUGUUUAAAGCAGGCUCACGCUUGAAUACAUUAGCAUGGAAUAAUGAAAUAGGACGUUUGAUUCUAUUUUGUUGGUUUCUAGGAUCGACGUAAUGAUUAAUAGGGAUAGUUGGGGGCAUUAGUAUUCAAUUGUCAGAGGUGAAAUUCUUGGAUUUAUUGAAGACUAACUACUGCGAAAGCAUUUGCCAAGGAUGUUUUCAUUAAUCAAGAACGAAAGUUAGGGGAUCGAAGACGAUCAGAUACCGUCGUAGUCUUAACCAUAAACUAUGCCGACUAGGGAUCGGAUGAUGUUAAUUUUUAAUGA